GGGGGGGGGGGGGGGGGGGGCUGGUAGAUGCGAGGCGGGCGGAGAGAUGAGGGGCUUGCUCCUCUGACGUUAGCGGCGGACGGGGGAGUAACACGUGGAUAACCUACCUAUAAGACUGGGAUAACUUCGGGAAACCGGAGCUAAUACCGGAUAAUAUAUUGAACCGCAUGGUUCAAUAGUGAAAGACGGUUUUGCUGUCACUUAUAGAUGGAUCCGCGCCGCAUUAGCUAGUUGGUAAGGUAACGGCUUACCAAGGCGACGAUGCGUAGCCGACCUGAGAGGGUGAUCGGCCACACUGGAACUGAGACACGGUCCAGACUCCUACGGGAGGCAGCAGUAGGGAAUCUUCCGCAAUGGGCGAAAGCCUGACGGAGCAACGCCGCGUGAGUGAUGAAGGUCUUCGGAUCGUAAAACUCUGUUAUUAGGGAAGAACAAAUGUGUAAGUAACUAUGCACGUCUUGACGGUACCUAAUCAGAAAGCCACGGCUAACUACGUG
rnacentral:rRNA from 1 species